GUGGCAUGUGGGAUCUUCCCAGACCAGGGAUUGAACCCAUGUCCCCUGCAUUGGCAGACGGAUUCUUAACCACUGCACCACCAGGGAAGUCCCUGGACUUGUUUUAAUAGGCAUAAGUUAUGAAACAUGCCAUUAGGUAGUCAUAGACACUUCCAGGUACUUGGUGUUUUUGUUUAUUAAAUGUGUUUCUUUGGCUCUUUUGAAGCUGUAAGCUUUUUCGUUGGUUGUUUACUUUGAAUGUCCAAAGAUCUGCUACUUUAUAUAAUUUUUUUUAUAAUUUGAGGAUAGGAUUGGGGUACAACCUCUUUAGUGGUUGAUGGAAUUAAUUUCUUCCAUAAAUGUAGGCUCUUCUUGGUGAAUACAUUUAUAGACGCCAGUCUUUUAACUAGUUUAAAAGACCAGAUCAAUAUUGGAGUUGUUUACAUGGAAGUAGGCCAUUAUUUUUUAAACCUGUGCUGAGCUGAACUUUACCUUUGAACUCUUUAUGGAAAACAGGCUUAUGCAAUAAAUAUAAUCAAGAUUUUUCUUUUUACCCAUAAGUGUGUUUAAUACAUUACAGUAUGUAAGAGCUUUCACAAACGUUUUAUUAAAAUAGGUGCAGAGCAGGUUUGAGUUUCUGAAACAAGCCAACCCUAUUUAAGAACUUUACCAAAAGUAUGUAUUAUUGCUGCCAACAAUUACAAAUACAUGUUAUGACAUUUAAAAAGCUGUGCCCCUCUGUUUGUCGCUUAUGUAUUUGAAGGUAAUAAAACUGUAUUACUUUUUAAAACAUUCUAUAAUUUAGAUUUCUUACUGAUUGAGACUGGUCUUUCCUGCAGUUAAUCCGAAUGAGGAAAUCUAUGGAAAAGCUAAUGGCUUGGCGGGUAGGGGAGGUUACCUCCGUUACUAAAGAUAAGCCAUUGAAGAACUACAAGACUUACCUACGAAAGGCUUGUUUCUCAGUUUGUCAAGAGUUCUUUGCGUCAUCACUCUUUCCUAGCCCCGUAAAAAAAGUAUUUUAUUUUGUCUAGGUUUUUAUCAGACUAAAAUGUCCAAGCUCGUCAUUGAUCCAUUUAUUUUUAGUAAUAAUUUCAAUAAAAUUACAAUAUAAGCAAAAAAAAUAGGCACCUUUGGAGUAUUGUAUUAGUGAAUUGCUUGUAUACAUCACUUUAAUCAUUUGGUGAAUAUGUAUGAUGAGUGGCCCAAUAAUAGCUAAUAUUGACCAAAGAAUUAAUGCUAGGGAGAAGAAAAAAUUAGUGGUUACUCUUUCAAUAUCUAUAUAGUUAAUUCUUGAUAAUUUGUGCAUUAUUGGUAGUGGGAUAUACAUAAAUAAUAGAAACCUUUAUCAUUCAAAUCUCAAAGGCAAAAGUGUUCUAUCAAACCUUCACACAUUGUUGAUUGCUCUGGUGCUCCUCUAAUUUCCUGAUUACUUACCUAUCAGGAAAGUAUAUUCACGAUCCAUGCUAGACCUAAAGUCAGGUAGGUAAUAGGAGGAAGAUGAGGAAGAAGAAACUAAGAUGAACUUGCUGUUCUCAAAUCACUGAGAUUUGUUUCUUCUUGCAGGGAAGAUGGAUUGGAAAGGAAUCUGUGGCCUGAUAAAAUGCUGAUAGAUUUGUGCCAGCAAGUAAGGAUCUGGGGAGAAAGAGGAAGUGGGAACAAGUGGCACCUUUGAGCUGGCUAUCACACCAGUUUUGUUUGGAGUGAGGACAGGAAACAAAAAUUUGCCUUGAAGCCUUCAGGACGGAAGAGAGGCAGGGACUGAAGGAGGGAAACAGCCCCAAAGCUGCAGGCCUGUCUGAAGGCCACUGAAAGUGUGGGUGGAAACAGGUAUCCUUUCUGCGUACACCAGUAGCAACUGCUGAGGUGAGUGGAGGCGUGGGAGUUGUGGAAGAAGCACAACUACUUCUAACCCUGCUGGUGAAACUCUGUGGAGGCACUUUGAAGAAAAGGGAACAAUAAGUUAGGAAAAAUUUUAAAAGUUUGUCAGAUCCCAAUGCACUGAAAUCCUGGGGUGAGGUCCCUGAGGAACUGUAGUGCUUGGCUGAAACCAUGUGUCAUUCACAUCGAGAGCACAGUUUAAAAAAUGACAGGAACAAGGGUAAACAGUCUCUUAAUUAUGGUCUGAAAGAGAGCUGCUGUUCUCUCCAAUUAUACAAAGUCACAAGGGCUUCAACCAACAGAUGUCAACGCACACUUGAUACGAGAUGCAGGAAAGACUCAGCCUUCAUUUUGAGAAAUUUAUUAAAAUAAGAACAAGCAUCAGUUGUACAUAGAAAUAAUCAUUUGCACUAAGUGGUACUCAAGCAGAAGAGCAGUUUUAAAUAUAUUAAAAAAUCACAAAAUACAUUGGUUAAGGCACCUACAUCUUGUCUCAUGUUUUCAAUAAAUAUGCUGUUUUUUAAAAAGGCAGUAAGGACCUCUGAUUAAAUGAAUAUAGGCACUGUGCUAUUAAAGAUAGUCAUACUUUUUGCUGUGGCCACUGUGAUUUAUUCUCAAAAGAACUUUCAUUAGCUUGGUUUAGCAUUUAAAAAAACAAAGCUGAGUA